UACAGAGGUCUCAAGCGUUGUUCGGAUUCAUUGGGCGUAAAGGGUGCGUAGGCGGCGCGGUAAGUCGGAUGUGAAAGCCCCGGGCUCAACCUGGGAAUUGCAUUCGAGACUGAAUAGCUAGGGUGCGGUAGAGGGAAGCGGAAUUUCCGGUGUAGCGGUGAAAUGCGUAGAUAUCGGAAGGAACAUCAGUGGCGAAAGCGGCUUCCUGGACCAGCACCGACGUUCAGGCACGAAAGCGUGGGGAGCAAACAGG
rnacentral:rRNA from 1 species